GGCUUUAUAGUCAAAUAUGAUAUUAGAUUGCAAAUCUGAGGGUGUAAAUUUAUACUAAAGCUU
rnacentral:tRNA from 1 species